GGAGGGUGGGCAGGACGGUAAUGCGCUAGUUUUGAAAACUAGUGUCCGUAAGGACUAACAGGUUCAACCCCUGUACCCUCCG
rfam:Microgenomates (Shapirobacteria) bacterium GW2011_GWE1_38_10 TS68_C0001, whole genome shotgun sequence.